GCGACGACGGGUAGCCGGCCUGAGAGGGUGAUCGGCCACACUGGGACUGAGACACGGCCCAGACUCCUACGGGAGGCAGCAGUGGGGAAUAUUGCACAAUGGGCGAAAGCCUGAUGCAGCGACGCCGCGUGAGGGAUGACGGCCUUCGGGUUGUAAACCUCUUUCAGCAGGGACGAAGCGCAAGUGACGGUACCUGCAGAAGAAGCACCGGCUAACUACGUGCCAGCAGCCGCGGUAAUACGUAGGGUGCGAGCGUUGUCCGGAAUUAUUGGGCGUAAAGAGCUCGUAGGCGGUUUGUCGCGUCGGCCGUGAAAACUUGGGGCUUAACUCCAAGCUUGCGGUCGAUACGGGCAGACUUGAGUUCGGCAGGGGAGACUGGAAUUCCUGGUGUAGCGGUGAAAUGCGCAGAUAUCAGGAGGAACACCGGUGGCGAAGGCGGGUCUCUGGGCCGAUACUGACGCUGAGGAGCGAAAGCGUGGGGAGCGAACAGGAUUAGAUACCCUGGUAGUCCACGCCGUAAACGGUGGGUGCUAGGUGUGGGGGGCUUCCACGCCCUCUGUGCCGCAGCUAACGCAUUAAGCACCCCGCCUNG
rnacentral:rRNA from 1 species